UGGCUGAGUGGUAAAGCGCCUGGCUUCUGAACCGGAUUAACCGGGUUCGAAUCCUGG
rnacentral:tRNA from 1 species